GGGUGGAUAUGGGUUGGAUAUGGAAAAAUAGAUUAUCCGUGAGUAUCUCCGAACCUGUUGAGUAUGGAGAUAGGUAUUUCUUUUCUUACCCGAUCGAAUAUCGGGUAGGAUUUAGAUAUAGAGUAUUAAGGUUGGAUUUGAGAAUGGGUAGUACAAUAUUCGAUCCAAACUCUAUCCAUUGCCAUUCCUAGCUGAAAGAAUGUCGCUUCCCACCAUCACUCAUUCC
rnacentral:lncRNA from 1 species